UACGUAUGGUGCAAGCGUUAUCCGGAUUUACUGGGCGUAAAGGGAGCGCAGGCGGCGCGCCAAGUCUGAUGUGAAACCCCGGGGCUCAACCCCGGGCAUGCAUUGGAAACUGGCUGGCUGGAGUGCCGGAGAGGUAAGCGGAAUUCCUAGUGUAGCGGUGAAAUGCGUAGAUAUUAGGAGGAACACCAGUGGCGAAGGCGGCUUACUGGACGGCAACUGACGCUGAGGCUCGAAAGCGUGGGGAGCAAACAGG
rnacentral:rRNA from 1 species